rnacentral:rRNA from 1 species
AUGAGGAGGAAUGGCGCAGUUCUCGAGUGGAACUGUCAACGAGCUCAGGCAAGGGGACGGGCUACUUAUCCAAUCCUAAGCCUUGUAUAUCAACGAACAAAUGCAUACAGUGGACAGCGCCGAUCGACGAGCGAAGUUGCUAAAUUAAAUUCAGAUGCUGCUUUCGACGCCGACAGCGGUCAAAGCUGGGCUGGCGUGAUUGCUAGAGAUCACAGAGGGCAUUUAUUCUUGUCAGUCAGCAAGGAGUUGCCGCGAUCUACAAGUGUGGAAGAGGCUGAGGGACGUGCUACACUCCCCGGACUGCAUGCACUUGCGGCAGUGUACAUGGGAAAAAAUCAAUUGGAGGUGGACAACAAGUGGAUACCAGAUGCACUGAAGAAAAAUGCCCCGAACAAGUCUCUGAAUGAUGCCCUUGCUACGUUCUCUGCUUUCAAGGUGACUCACUCCGCGAGGGGAGGUAACAAGAUGGCACAUGAAUUAGUAGUUGAAGCCAGAGUGCGUGGAGACCAUACCUUCAUAGCAUUGAAUAGAUGA